GAUUUCUGGCGAGACAUAUCUGGCCGGCCACGGUUUCGUGUGUUAGUGCUUGAUAUUCUAGCCAUCCUUCCAAUGGCUAUUCAUCCUUCUUCAUUGAGGUGGUGAGUGGUAUUGGAUCUUUUACUUUGAAAAAAUUAGAGUGUUUAAAGCAGGCUUAUGCUGUGAAUACAUUAGCAUGGAAUAAUAAUCUAGGACUUUGGUUCUAUUUUGUUGGUUUCUAGGACUGAAGUAAUGAUUGAUAGGGAUAGUUGGGGGUGCUAGUAUUCCGCGGCCAGAGGUGAAAUUCUUGGAUUCGUGGAAGACUAACUACUGCGAAAGCAUU
rnacentral:rRNA from 1 species